rnacentral:rRNA from 1 species
CUAAACGACUCUCGGCAACGGAUAUCUCGGCUCUCGCAUCGAUGAAGAACGUAGCGAAAUGCGAUACUUGGUGUGAAUUGCAGAAUCCCGUGAACCAUCGAGUCUUUGAACGCAAGUUGCGCCCGAAGCCUUCUGGCUGAGGGCACGUCUGCCUGGGCGUCACGCA